rnacentral:tRNA from 1 species
GGUCAUGUAGCUCAGCCUGGUCAGAGCGGCUGACUUGUAAUCAGCAGGUCGUGGGUCCGAAUCCCACCAUGACCU